rnacentral:rRNA from 3 species
GAUGAACGCUAGCGGCAGGCCUAACACAUGCAAGUCGAGGGGUAUAGUUCUUCGGAACUAGAGACCGGCGCACGGGUGCGUAACGCGUAUGCAAUCUACCUUGUACAGAGGGAUAGCCCAGAGAAAUUUGGAUUAAUACCUCAUAGUGUUAUUGAAUGGCAUCAUUUGAUAACUAAAGUUCCAACGGUACAAGAUGAGCAUGCGUCCCAUUAGUUAGUUGGUAAGGUAACGGCUUACCAAGACAAUGAUGGGUAGGGGUCCUGAGAGGGAGAUCCCCCACACUGGUACUGAGACACGGACCAGACUCCUACGGGAGGCAGCAGUGAGGAAUAUUGGACAAUGGGCGCAAGCCUGAUCCAGCCAUGCCGCGUGCAGGAUGACUGCCCUAUGGGUUGUAAACUGCUUUUAUA